rnacentral:rRNA from 1 species
CCCUUAGAUGUUCUGGGCUGCACGCGUGUUACAAUCGGGAGUACAACAAGAUUGCAAAUCCUAGUGGAUGAGUGGUUCUUCGAAAUUUUCUGAAGACUGGGAUAGUUGAUUGAAAUUAUUCAACUCGAACGAGGAAUUCCUUGUAAUUGUAAUUCAUUAUAUUGUAAUGAAUACGUCCCUGCCCUUUGUACACACUGCCCGUCGCUCCUACCGAUUGAACGAUCCGGUGAAUUAUUUGGAGUAGCUCUGGAAGUUGCAGAACUUCCUAUGUCACGAAAUUUUGUAAACCUUAUCGUUUAGAGGAAGGAAAAGACGUAACA